rnacentral:rRNA from 1 species
ACGCGUGAGUAAUCUGCCUUCAAGCUUGGGAUAACAUUGCGAAAGCGGUGCUAAUACCAGAUAAGCCUACACUGUCUACUUGACAGAGCAGGAAAAGAUGGCCUCUGAUACAAGCUAUCACUUGAAGAUGAGCUCGCGUACCAUUAGCUUGUUGGUAGGGUAACGGCCUACCAAGGCUAAGAUGGUUAGCUGGCCUGAGAGGGCGGCCAGCCACACUGGAACUGAGACACGGUCCAGACUCCUACGGGAGGCAGCAGUGGGGAAUAUUGCGCAAUGGGGGAAACCCUGACGCAGUGACGCCACGUGAGUGAUGAAGGUCUUCGGAUCGUAAAGCUCUGUCAGAUGGGAAGAAUAAAAGCAGUGAAAAUAUUGCUGCUUGAUGACGGUACCAUCAGAGGAAGCACCGGCUAACUCCGUGCCAGCAGCCGCGGUAAUACGGAGGGUGCAAGCGUUGUUCGGAAUUACUGGGCGUAAAGCGCGUGUAGGCGGGUGAGUAGGUCAGAUGUGAAAUCCCUUGGCUUAACUAAGGACGUGCAUCUGAAACCAUUCAUCUUGAGUGCGACAGAGGAGAGUGGAAUUCCCAGUGUAGAGGUGAAAUUCAUAGAUAUUGGGAAGAACACCAGUGGCGAAGGCGACUCUCUGGGUCGCAACUGACGCUGAGACGCGAAAGCGUGGGGAGCAAACAGGAUUAGAUACCCUGGUAGUCCACGCCGUAAACGAUGUGCACUAGGUGUUGGAAGUAAUUAAACUUUCAGUGCCGAAGCUAACGCAUUAAGUGCACCGCCUGGGGAUUACGGCCGCAAGGUUAAUACUCAAAGGAAUUGACGGGGGCCCGCACAAGCGGUGGAGUAUGUGGUUUAUUUUGACGCAACGCGCAAAACCUUACGUGGGCUUGACAUCCCGGUCGCAUCCCGUGGAAACACAGGAGUCAGUUCGGCUGGACCGGUGACAGGUGCUGCAUGGCUGUCGUCAGCUCGUGUCGUGAGAUGUUGGGUUAAGUCCCGCAACGAGCGCAACCCCUACCGUUAGUUGCCAUCAUUCAGUUGGGCACUCUAAUGGAACUGCCGGUGUUAAACCGGAUGGAAGGUGGGGACGACGUCAAGUCCUCAUGGCCCUUAUGCCCAGGGCUACACACGUACUACAAUGGCCGGUACAAAGGGCAGCGAGCUCGCGAGAGCAAGCAAAUCCCAAAAAGCUGGUCCCAGUUCGGAUU